rnacentral:rRNA from 2 species
GAUGAACGCUGGCGGCGUGCCUAAUACAUGCAAGUCGAACGAGUUCUGAUUAUUGAAAGGUGCUUGCAUCUUGAUUUAAUUUUGAACGAGUGGCGGACGGGUGAGUAACACGUGGGUAACCUGCCCUUAAGUGGGGGAUAACAUUUGGAAACAGAUGCUAAUACCGCAUAAAUCCCAAGAACCGCAUGGUUCUUGGGCUGAAAGAUGGCGUAAGCUAUCGCUUUUGGAUGGACCCGCGGCGUAUUAGCUAGUUGGUGAGGUAACGGCUCACCAAGGCAAUGAUACGUAGCCGAACUGAGAGGUUGAUCGGCCACAUUGGGACUGAGACACGGCCCAAACUCCUACGGGAGGCAGCAGUAGGGAAUCUUCCACAAUGGACGCAAGUCUGAUGGAGCAACGCCGCGUGAGUGAAGAAGGCUUUCGGGUCGUAAAACUCUGUUGUUGGAGAAGAAUGGUCGGCAGAGUAACUGUUGUCGGCGUGACGGUAUCCAACCAGAAAGCCACGGCUAACUACGUGCC